UCUGACUGUACAUACCUUCCUGAAUGCACCUGAACCUGGAAGAUGAAAGAAGCUAAGCAGGGCUGGCCUCAUUAGUGUUGGAUGGGAGAUCAACUGUUCUCACCUGAGAUAGGUAGGUUAGGC
rnacentral:rRNA from 1 species